rnacentral:misc_RNA from 1 species
GAUGAAGAACGUAGCGAAAUGCGAUAAUUAAUGUGAAUUGCAGAAUUCCGUGAAUCAUCGAGUCUUUGAACGCAUAUUGCGCCUCAUGGCAUUCAGUGAGGCAUGCCCAUCUCAGCGUUAGAAAAUAUUCUCAAAUUUUAGUUUUGUGCUAAAAUUUGGAUCAUCUCAAGGAAGCUAUUACUAUUAUUGUGAUCGCUCUUUGGAAAUUGAUAGGUCUUUGAGUUGCUACUCAUAGAACGUGAUGAAUCUUUCUUCGUUCUAUUGUAAAUCACUCUGGUAGUCCUAAAACUUGUAUGCCUGUGGCAUAUCUUGUAAUUUGACCUGAGAUUGGGUAGGGAUACCCGCUGAACUUAAGCAUAUCAAUAAGCGGAGGA